GCGGUGCGAGAUGGGGUCGCGGCCCAUCAGGUAGUAGGUGGGGCAGCAGCCCACCUAGCCUACGACGGGUAGCCGGACUGAGAGGUCGAUCGGCCACAUUGGGACUGAGAUACGGCCCAGACUCCUACGGGAGGCAGCAGUGGGGAAUAUUGCGCAAUGGGGGAAACCCUGACGCAGCAACGCCGCGUGCGGGAUGAAGGCCUUCGGGUUGUAAACCGCUUUCAGCAGGGAAGAGACAGACGGUACCUGCAGAAGAAGCCCCGGCUAACUACGUGCCAGCAGCCGCGGUAAUACGUAGGGGGCGAGCGUUAUCCGGAUUCAUUGGGCGUAAAGCGCGCGCAGGCGGACCGUUAAGCGGGACCUCUAAUCCUGGGGCUCAACCUCAGGCCGGGUCCCGAACUGGCGGUCUCGAGUGCGGUAGGGGAGGUCGGAAUUCCCGGUGUAGCGGUGGAAUGCGCAGAUAUCGGGAAGAACACCGAUGGCGAAGGCAGACCUCUGGGCCGACACUGACGCUGAGGCGCGAAAGCUAGGGGAGCGAACAGGAUUAGAUACCCUGGUAGUCCUAGCCGUAAACGAUGGACGCUAGGUGUGGGGGA
rnacentral:rRNA from 1 species